rnacentral:lncRNA from 1 species
GUACUUCCGCAUGCCAUUGUAGUUCUAAUUUCUUGUGCAUCAAUUACUUUUACGCUGUUCCUGGCUGUCACUCCACUGAAGUCAGCAAGUAAUGAACCUGAAACUCAGGAGCUAUCUGAGCACUCUCAGAGAGAAGAUCCAGAUACUACUUAUCAAAGAGAAGCAAGUAAUGAACCUGAAACUCAGGAGCUAUCUGAGCACUCUCAGAGAGAAGAUCCAGAUACUACUUAUCAAAUAGAAGUAAGUAAUGAACGUGAAACUCAGCAGCUAUCUGAGCACUCUCAGAUAGAAGAUCCAGAUACUUUUUAUCAUAGAGAGGAGCUUUCUCUGGUUGAACAGAAAGAAGAUCAUAC